rnacentral:rRNA from 1 species
AUGAACGCUGGCGGCGUGCCUAAUACAUUCCAGUCGCGCGAACAGACGAGGAGCUUGCUCCUCUGACGUUAGCGGCGGACGGGGGAGUAACACGUGGAUAACCUACCUAUAAGACUGGGAUAACUUCGGGAAACCGGAGCUAAUACCGGAUAAUAUAUUGAACCGCAUGGUUCAAUAGUGAAAGACGGUUUUGCUGUCACUUAUAGAUGGAUCCGCGCCGCAUUAGCUAGUUGGUAAGGUAACGGCUUACCAAGGCAACGAUGCGUAGCCGACCUGAGAGGGUGAUCGGCCACACGGGAACUGGGACACGGUCCAGACUCCUACGGGAGGCAGCAGUAGGGAAUCUUCCGCAAUGGGCGAAAGCCUGACGGAGCAACGCCGCGUGAGUGAUGAAGGUCUUCGGAUCGUAAAACUCUGUUAUUAGGGAAGAACAAAUGUGUAAGUAACUAUGCACGUCUUGACGGUACCUAAUCAGAAAGCCACGGCUAACUACGUG